rnacentral:lncRNA from 1 species
CAAAAGAGUGAAGUUCUUCACACAUAAAUACAAACAAGGAUUACAUAAAAGACUCAUCACCAUUUCCAGAACACAUUGGAACCACACUUGAAUUUGUCUUUCCCUUUGCACUCCAACUCUAGAUCUUCCGAUAGGAAUGGCACUUUCUGCAUUACGUAUCAAGCAAUCAAAACCAUAUAUACCCAAGAUCUUUAUGUUAGAUCUUGUGAUUCAUGCAAAUUAAACUCUUAACAAUCUACAUCUAUAACACUGUUAAUCUGUUAUGUUAUUGAAUUCGUUCUUAAUUAAGUAAUUAGAGUUCAAACCUUUGUCUUUGCAAGAUCUUGGCAGCCUGUGAAGUUGUAGGGGAAGGUGCAUGUUCCAAACUGAACUGUGUAUGCUCUUGCAAAGUUUGCACCACUUGUUGCCAGCCUCUUUUGGUCAUUCAAUU